rnacentral:rRNA from 1 species
UACGGGGGGAGCAAGCGUUGUUCGGAUUUACUGGGCGUAAAGGGCGCGUAGGCGGCGCGACAAGUCACUUGUGAAAUCUCCGGGCUUAACUCGGAGCGGCCAAGUGAUACUGUCGUGCUAGAGUGCGGAAGGGGCAACUGGAAUUCUCGGUGUAGCGGUGAAAUGCGUAGAUAUCGAGAGGAACACCUGCGGCGAAGGCGGGUUGCUGGGCCGACACUGACGCUGAGGAGCGAAAGUGUGGGGAGCGAACAGG